AUGCUUGCUUUGCUAUUGGGCUUUCUCUUCAAAACAAAGUGGGCUAAUGCUCUGGAAUGGAAUAAUUGUUAAAAAAACAAGAGUUCUGUUUAGACCCAACCCAAGAGUGGUCUGUGGACACACAAAAUUGCUUUGGACACCCAAGAAAACUUUCCAACUUUCCAGAACGGGUCAUGUUGAAAUCAGCUCAGAAGCCGGUAUGCCAAAACUAA
rnacentral:lncRNA from 1 species